AUGUGUGUGUUUCAAUUUCAUUUAAUCUCCCCGCCUCCUCCCCCCCGCCGCUGCCAAACCUCCGAAGCGACCCCGGAGAGGCUUGGGCGGCCCGCGGGAAAGGCAAGGCAGGAAAAGCUCCCGGCGACGGCGGAGAAAGAGCUGUUUACUUUAGCUGUGUGGAGAGAAAAAAGAUCAGCUAAAAAAAAAAGAAAGUGCAAGACCCAUCAGAAAUGCAAAAGAAGAAGAAGAAGAAAAGAAAAGAAAGAAAAAGAAAAAGAAAACCAGAAAGCAAACAGAGAGUACAAGACCCAUCGGAAAUGGGGAAAAAAACACCAAAAACAAACAAACCCUGCAAGACCCAUCACAGCACAGAAACAUAAUCCCACCACCCAGCCCAAAACCAUGCAGCAAAACACACCCAGAACAGUUUUUAAAAAGUAGAAAGCACCUUACCACGCAGUCCGAAGCCUCCUCCAAUCAUACACUCUCUAAUUGCUGGGGCGAAAGAGCUACAAAGAAGCAGCAUCUUCACCAACAACAGUUAGCAAUUUGAAUACCCCCGCCUUUUUCCCUGCCUUUUUUCUGUUCAUAACUUGAAGCUCCGGUUGCAAGUAGAAGCAACAUUUUGCAGCCAGAGCUGCUUGUAACUCAAAAUGGUUGUAUGUCGGGACGUUCGUAAGUCGAGACACCACCGUAUCAGCAAGAUGGCAUCCAAAGAAACUCAAGAAAGAGAGCAAAACUUGAAAUUAGCACAUCUGCCAGGCCUAACAUUAGGUGGGUUGAGAGAAUCCAGAGAGGAAAUGGAAGCAGAUAAGAGAAAUAUAUACUGUUCAUAGAAGUAGGCUGCACCUGUUUCUUGAGAGGUUUGACCUAGCCAUGGUGACAGAUGCUCCAAUUGCAUCCCAGUUGGAUUACUGUAACGCACACUAUAUGGAGCCACCUUUGGAAAGUGUUCAGAAACUCUAGAGAAGUAGUCCCCAACCUUGGGCCGCCAGAUGUUCUUGGUCUUCAACUCCCAGAAAUCCUGGCCAGCAGGUGGUGGUGAAGGCUUCUGGGGGUUGUAGUUGAAGAACAUCUGGAGGCCAAGAAGAUCCCAAAUGCCAUAGCCACAUAGUUAACUGGGGAUGGUUACAGGGAACAUAUGAUUCCACUGUUUAUAGCACCUCUGCUGACUGACACUAUGUUUCUGGGCACAAUUCAAAAAGCCCUGCCCAGGCUUUAAGAGGCCUUUCUCUUGGCCCCACCAUUGUCACAGGAGCACUUGGCCUUCUCUGUCACUGCUCCCAGACUCUGGACCUUAUUCCAUGGGAAACCAGGCUGGCCCCAUCUUGGCUGUCCUGCAAGCAGGCAAAGAUCUUUCUGUUCAGGCAGGCUUUUCCUUAGUGACUAGCACUCUGAGAGUGUUAUUCUUUAAAAAAUGUAUUGUGUUCUGUUGCUUUUAAAUGUAUUUUUCAUAUUGAUUUAAUUUACCUGUUACAAUACCAAUUUAGUGUUUAAAAUAUAUUUGCAUACUUACUUUUUUGCUUUUAAAUAUUGUUUUUUUAUUGAUCUAAGGUGCCUUGGGUCCUUUUAAGGAGAACAAUGGAGUAAAUACAUUUUAAAUAAUAAUAAAUAGAGCAAGAUUCCUGAAACA
ensembl:lncRNA